AAUAAACAACACGGAAAUGAAACUAUUCAUACCGGCAGCGAUGCAAAUUGGCGACAGUUGCAACACUUGUUCAAUAAAAUGACACUCAGAG